AUUGCGUCUACAAGCAGGUUGGGUCACCUUCCUAACCUUGGAUACAGCUUCUGGGGAAGAAUCCAGCCUCUCCUCCUGGACCCUCUGCUGCAGCUCCCGUCACACCCCUCCUAAUCUGGAGCUCCUUGAAGACCAGAACCCCGCACAUCUUCUGCCUGUCACGUCUCAUCCCUGGUACAGGCCAGAGAAGUCCUUGGGGGCCAUCCAGCAGUGACAACAAAGCCAUCUGUGCCAUGGUUCCUGUGUCUUGAAAGAGGAAGCCGGCUACACAGAAUCACUGCAAGAUGCUCCUCCGAAGACUGAUGGCCACUCUCUGAGCCCUUCUCUGAGGGUCAGGACUCAGCCACCUGCCGUCACCAUCCCGAGAGGGUCCCCGGGGCACCGAGCACAAACAGACUAGCUGACGCAUCACCCUCCACCAGGGCACACGGCGCAGCUGUGUGCCCUGCCUGUCCCUCCAGAUGGGGCUGGGCCCACUGCUACCGUGUCUCCCUGCCGGGAAGAGCUUGUGGAUCCCGAACCAGCGAGAGAACGGAAACAACACGGGAAGGGAGAAGUCUUCCCCGGUGAAAUCUACACGUGUAUUUAGGACCGGAAGCGACAUCUCACCUUUGUUCUAACGUUCUGGAAGGACCUUUCCUCUUUGUCCUGCUGUGGCAUCGCCAGCAUAUGACAACUCACUGCAGCCACCAAAUGCAGUCCUUUCCUUACGAGUCCAAGAUGGCACGUGG